rnacentral:rRNA from 1 species
CCCUUAGAUGUUCUGGGCCGCACGCGCGCUACACUGACGAAUGCAACGAGCUUAUAACCUUGGCCGAAAGGUCUGGGUAAUCUCCAAAUUUCGUCGUGAUGGGGAUAGAUUAUUGCAAUUAUUAAUCUUCAACGAGGAAUGCCUAGUAAGCGCAAGUCAUCAGCUUGCGUUGAUUACGUCCCUGCCCUUUGUACACACCGCCCGUCGCUGCAACUGAUUGGGUGACCUGGUGAACAUCUUGGACCGGCCCACUCAAUUUCGAGAGGACUGGAAAAGGCCGUAAAUCAGGUACAUCUAGAAAUUGCAAGUCGUAACA